GAGUCUUACUCUAAUACAAACCUCUCUAUUCUACAAACUAAAAACUAUCACUAAAUUCCUAAGAGCAUAUCACUAAAUUCUCUAACAACCCCACCUUCUUCUUCUUUUUCUCCGACCUAGCCUCUGCCUCCACCCGACUUCCGCUAGCUUCACCCCGCCGCCCUGCCAAAUCUGCCGCUCCCUCCACCUCCAUGCCGCCCGCCCCCUCCAUAACCACCAUCUCUACCGCCACCUUCAUUAUUUAUAUCACCAUCAAAUCCAACCCACCUCCACCGCCCCUUGCACUCCACCUCCGUCUCCACCUCCACCUCGAUCUUCCUCACCUCUAGUACCAUCUCCACCUCCACCUCCACCUCCACCUCGAUCUUCCUCACCUCUAGUACCAUCUGCCCAGCUUUACUACCGAUUUCAAUUUUGUAUCUUUGCCAAAAACUGCCGAACAGAACUAAAAACUCCUUCCAGGUCCACUACCUCCACCUUCACCUUCACCUUCACCUCCACUAUCUAGUAAUGGAGGAACUUUGAGAAUAUGCAAAGAAGCCCAUUGAUCACAUUGUUUUACGACAUUCUAGUAAUUGAUGACAAUGUUUUGCAACAUCCUAGUUUUUGGUUUCCAGAAGAAUGUUCUUGAAUGGAAAAAGUAAGGUGUUGAGU
rnacentral:lncRNA from 1 species